rnacentral:rRNA from 1 species
GAACCGUCCAAACGUUAUUCGGGAAUUACUGGGGCUUAAAGGGUGCGUAGGCGGCGCCGUAAGUCGGGUGUGAAAUCCCUCGGCUCAACCGAGGGAACUGCGCCCGAUACUGCGGUGCUUGAGGGAGACAGAGGUAAGCGGAACUGAUGGUGGAGCGGUGAAAUGCGUUGAUAUCAUCAGGAACACCAGUAGCGAAAGCGGCUUACUGGGUCUCUUCUGACGCUGAGGCACGAAAGCUAGGGUAGCGAACGGGAUUAGAUACCCCGGUAGUCCUAGCUGUAAACGAUGAGCACUUGAUCGGAGACUCCUCCAUAGGUUUCCGGUCGAAGCGAAAGUGUUAAGUGCUCCGCCUGGGGAGUAUGGUCGCAAAGGCUG